CAGUCGCCGCGGUAAUACGUAGGUGGCAAGCGUUGUCCGGAAUUAUUGGGCGUAAAGGGCUCGCAGGCGGUUUCUUAAGUCUGAUGUGAAAGCCCCCGGCUCAAUCGGGGAGGGUCAUUGGAAACUGGGAAACUUGAGUGCAGAAGAGGAGAGUGGAAUUCCACGUGUAGCGGUGAAAUGCGUAGAGAUGAGGAGGAACACCAGUGGCGAAGGCGACUCUCUGGUCUGUAACUGACGCUGAGGAGCGAAAGCGUGGGGAGCGAACAGGAUUAGAUACCCCCGUAGUCCCUGUCUCUUAUAC
rnacentral:rRNA from 1 species